rnacentral:rRNA from 1 species
CCUACGGGUGGCUGCAGUGAGGAAUAUUGGUCAAUGGGCGCUAGCCUGAACCAGCCAAGUAGCGUGAAGGAUGACUGCCCUACGGGUUGUAAACUUCUUUUAUAAAGGAAUAAAGUGAGGCACGUGUGCAUUUUUGAGUGUAGUUUAUGAAUAAGGAUCGACUAACUCCGUGCCAUCAGCCGCGGUAAUACGGAGGAUCGGCGCGUUAUCCGGAUUUAUUGGGUUUAAAGGGAGCGUAGAUGGGUUGGUAAGUCAGUUGUGAAAGUUUGGGGCUCAACCUUAAAAUUGCAAUUGAGACUGGCAGCCUUGAGUGCAGGUGAGGUAGGCGGAAUUCGUGGUGUAGCGGUGAAAUGCUUAGAUAUCACGAAGAACUCCGAUUGCGAAGGCAGCCUACUAAACUGCAACUGACAUUGAUGCUCGAAAGUGUGGGUAUCAAACAGGAUUAGAUACCCGGGUAGUC